rnacentral:ncRNA from 1 species
GGUUUGGUCCUAGCCUUGAGAUCAGUUAUUACUUAAUAUGCUCAUGCGAGUCUCCGCACCCCUGUGAAAACGCCCUUUAAUUUNNCCCUUAGGAUAAGGAGCUGGUAUCAGGCUCGAAACUCUGCCCAAAACACCUAGCUAUGCCACAUCCACAAGGAAACUCAGCAGUGAUUAACAUUAAAUAUAAGCGACAGCUUGACUCAGUUAAAGUAAAAAGAACCGGNAAAUCUGGUGCCAGCCGCCGCGUUACACCACGUGGUUCAAAUUGAUCUUUAUCGGCGUAAAGNGUGAUUUAAGUCAAAUACAAUUGAAGUUAAACUUAAACUAAGCUGUGACACGCUUGUUUAUUAGAAAACCAAAAACNAAAGUUACUCCAAUUAUCUCUACUUGAUUUCACGACAGUUAGGACACAAACUGGGAUUAGAUACCCCACUAUGCCUAAUCGUAAACCUUAAUUUACNCUUCAAUCGCCCGGGAACUACGAGCAAGCUUAAAACCCAAAGGACUUGACGGUACCCCAUAUCCACCUAGAGGAGCCUGUCCUAUAAUCGAUGACCCCCGCUUAACCUCACCAAACUCUUGNUAUUCAGCCUGUAUACCUCCGUCGUCAGCUUACCUCGUGAGCGAACAUUAGUGAGCUUAGUGUCUUACAUCAAUACGUCAGGUCAAGGUGCAGCAUAUGAGCUGGAAAGAGAUGGGCUACAUUCUCUAACCUAGAAAAUACGAAAGACUACCUAUGAAAUCUAGUCUAAAGGCGGAUUUAGAAGUAAAAAGAAACAAGAGUGUUCUCUUUAACUAGGCACUGGGGUGUGUACACACCGCCCGUCACCCUCUUCGACAGCUAAUAAAUAGUUCUUAACCAAUUAUUGCUUAACAGAAGAGGCAAGUCGUAACAUGGUAAGUAUACCGGAAGGUGUGCUUGGAG